GGUUGGUCCUUCUGAAUGCCUUUAACUGCCAGUGAGGCUGCAACAGCAUGAAGACUCAGACCCAAGAAGCUUAAAUAGUUAAAGGGAUCAGAACUUCUUUAACUUGGAAUGUGAAUGGGGUUGUGGGCGGAUGAUUCAGGCAAUGAAAGGUUGGAAAAGAAGCAAUGCACAAGAGAGAGACCUUGCCAAAGGAUGGCGUUUCCAUUUGUGAACCCUGCAGCAAGAUGGGUGCUGUUGCUGCUGUCAAACAUCGAGAGAACUGAUUUAAAAAUAAAAAAGCCCAUUGCUAUGGCUGCUACUCCGUA